rnacentral:rRNA from 1 species
UACGGGGGGGUAAGCGUUGUUCGGAAUUACUGGGCGUAAGGGCUCGUAGGCGGCCAACUAAGUCAUACGUGAAAUCCCUCAGCUUAACUGGGGAACUGCGUGUGAUACUGGAUGGCUUGGAUUUGGGAGAGGGAUGCGGAAUUCCAGGUGAGCGGUGAAAUGCGUAGAUAUCAGGAAGAACACCCGUGGCGAAGGCGGCUCUCUGGGACGGUACUGACGCUGAGACGCGAAAGCGUGGGGAGCGAACAGG